UUCAGGUUCAGUCUUCGGGUUUUCUCAACUAUUCGGUCUUCAGAUGGCCAGCACUGAUUUCCCCCUCGCCCGUGCAAUCGGCCAUUAUCCAUUUACCCUACCGCUCCCGCACGGCCGCCCCCACCUUCUUCCUUCUUCGGUUCUCCCGGCGACACCGACUCGCCGGCCUGCUCCGUCUCCGUGACGGCGGGGAAGACAGAGGAGGGUGCCACCCUGCUGCGCCGGCCUGCGCCGCGACGCCGGAGAGGAGGAAACCCCGCACCACGCCGCGCCGCUCUGCCCCGUGACGACGGAGUGGAGGACACCACUGCGCUGCGCCGGCCUGCCCCGUGAUGCUGGUCGCCACCAACUGGAAACGAGCCUAGACUCGUGCCAAACGCCUGAACUGGAAGAAGAAGUUGGCAAUUCCAUAGAAAGUUCUCAGUGGUCGUUGACAAUGAGCUGUGAGAAUGUUGAGGAAGAGGUCGAAGACGAAGCUUAGAAGAAGAAAACGGAGUCCCAGAAGUAUAAAGCACCCAAGGAGUCCAAGAAAAUUAAGAAAAUGGCGCCAAGGAGCAACCCCAAUAAGAUCAAUGAUAACAGGCAGCAAACUCUUCAAGCUACAACACUACAACAGAUGAGGAGGACGGCAGUAAUUAUGCAAUUGUUGCUGGGAGGUUUGAUCCUGAGAAGAUUAGAGAUGCUUUUGCUGAAAUGAUAAUUAUGGAUGUGCUCCGAUUUGCAUUUUCCGAGAAAUCAGGAUUUAGAGAGUUUCCCAAUGAAUCUUGUGAUAGGGUCAGCCUAACAACCAAAACCUGGACAUCUAUGCAACAGCAGAGCUAUAUUUGUGUUAAGGCUCAUUUCCUUGACACCGGUUGGAGGCUACAUAAGAGGAUUAUUGGGUUCUUCUUGGUGUGUGGUCAUAAGGGGGAAGACAUUGGGAAUGACAUCGAGACGUGUUUGGUGGAUUGGGGUUUUAGAGAAAGCGUUCACAAUAACCGUUGACAAUGCAUCAGCAGACGAUGGUGCUGUAAGUUACAUGAGGAGGGCCAUGAACGAUGCUAAAACUAGCAUAGCAAAAGGGCAAUAUGUUCACAUGAGAUGUGCAGCCCAUGCCAUAAACAUGAUAGUUUUGGAUUGCCCAAGAGAGUUGGAUAUCCCAGUGCAACGAGUCCGUGCUGCUGUCUGUUUAAUCAGAAAAUUUUUAUCUGGAAUUACUCAAUUUAAGUAUGCUGACUUGGAGAAGGUGGACAUCAAAGCAUUCUUAUCGCUUGUUGUAUGCAUCAGAUGGAACUCCACAUACCUAAUGUUGAAAGCUGCAGCCACAUAUCAGAAGGUGUUUGAUAGAAUUACUUCAAGAAAUGAGUGGCCUCAACGUAUCCGAGACUAGCUCUAGUAAUAACAAUUCCAUCACCGUUGAUCAUUCCACAUCAUAAAGAUGGUUUAUAGAGAUUGGAGCCUUGGGAAAAUCUUGCCGUCUCUCUGAUGAGUUGGAGCGUGGUGGUGCAAAACUGCAAAUCUUGUUGUCUUGUUUGCUUCAAGCGAUUGUGUCAUUAUUUUAUUUUGGCUAUGCUUCCAGGCAAGAACAUCUAUCAGUCAGUCAAUGAUAUGAAAUCGUUAUCUGUGUCAUGUUGCUGUGCUGCUGCUACUAUGAACUGAGGGCAGCAGUAAUUGUGCACUCGUUGAUGGGAGGUUGAUCCUGAGAAGAUGAGAGAUGCUUUUGCUGAAAUGAUAAUUAUGGAUGGGCUCCCAUUUGCAUUUUCCGAGAAACCAGGAUUUACAAAGUUAAUGUCAAAGGCACGUCCUCGCUUUACUGUGCCAUCUAGGAGAACCACUAUCAGUUAUUGUGUCCACAUUUACUAUUGUGAGAAAGUGAAACUGAAAAAGUUCUUCAAAGAAUCUUGUGAUAGGGUCAGCCUAACAACCGACACCUGGACAUCUAUGCAACAGCAGAGCUAUAUCUGUGUUACGGCUCAUUUCCUUGACACUGACUGGAAGCUACAUAAGCGGAUUAUUGGGUUCUUCUUGGUGGGUGGUCGUAAGGGGGAAGACAUUGAGAAGGACAUCAAGAGGUGUUUGCUUGAUUCGGGUUUAGAGAAAGUGUUCUCCAUAACUGUUGACAAUGCAUCAGCAAAUGAUGGCACUAUAAGUAAAUGAGGAGGGUCAUGAACAAUGCUAAAACCAGCAUAGCAGAAGGACAAUAUAUUCACAUGAGAUGUGCAGUCCAUGUCAUCAACUUGUAGUUUCAGAUUGCCUAAGAGAGUUGGACAUCUCAAUGCAGCGAGCCCGUGCUGUUGUCCGUUUUAUCAGAAAUUCUCCAUCAAGAAUUCACUCGAUUUAAAAGGUGUGCUUACUUGGAAAAGGAGGAGAGCAAAACCAUCUUACCACUUGAUAUAUGCACAAAAUGGAACUCCACAUACCUAAUAUUGAAAACUGCAGCCACAUAUGAGAAAUUUGGAAAAAGAUUAGUGAAACACUUAAUGACUUGUUUAAGAUGUAUGCUCCAAGUGAGAAGAAGGAAAUGGAAUCCAAUGUUGUGCAAGGCACGAGCUUGAUGAGGUCCCUAAUUGCCAAGAGGAUGAGAAUGAACAACUGUGUGGUCGGCCCUACCAAGUCUGAGCUUGAGAAAUAUCUUGCUGAGGAGACUGGCGCAAACACCACCAAAUUUCAUAUUCUCAUUUACACCCUUCAUGGUCCAAGCACUCAUUUGUACUCAUGACUGGACGCGGCAAUCAGCUCCUGUAAAUGAUGAAGAGAAUACAGAACAGUUGACCAAACUAGAGGAAGGCAUGAAAAUGGGUUCAUUUGGUGCUUUGUUUCCCUAGUUCCUUGCUGAAUUUAACUGCUUACUGGUUACUCUAUUUUAAUCUCACAAUUAUUACAAGAAAUGAGUGGUCUCAAUGUAUCCGAGACAAGCUCUAGUAAUAAUAAUUCCAUCACCAUUCAUGCAUGAUUCCACACCAUAAAUAUGGUUUACAGAGAUUGGAGCCUUGGAAAAAUCUUUCCAUCUCACUGAUGAGUUGGAUUGUGGUGGUGCAAAACUGCAAAGCUUGUUGUCUUGUUCGGUUCAUUAUUUUAUUUUGGUCUAUGCUUCCAUGCCGGAACAUCUAUCAGUCAGUCAAUGAUAUGAGCUCAAGUUAUCUGCGUUGUGUAGCUGUGUGGCUGCUACUAUGAACUGUAAGCUACUAUCUAUUUGGCUUCAAGUUAUGCAACCUCACAACUUUUUAUGAUUCAAACAGUAAAAAAUAGCUUCACCUUCAGGAAAUUCUACCAAAAACACCAAAGUUGAAUCAUCUCAGCAUUGUUGGGGAAAACAGCAAUGGCUAAGAGACUUUGUGGUGUUAUAGAAUACUUUCAAUUUCUCUGUUAUCACGUUCUUAAUUUCUUCUCACAGACAGGGCCAAGAGACUAAUGGUUCAAAUGCCUCCCAUAGAGGCAAAAGCUGAACCUUCUACCUCACCAAAUCAUUUGGUAUAUUCAGGGAUUAUCAUGGACAUAUGGACUCAUGGAGUAGAAAAGGACUCAUGUAGUAGAAAAGCAGAAACAUCUGGUUUCUAGCUCAUAGGCAUAUUUUUUAGAAAUGCAUGAUCUAGGUAAUCACAAACAAAUUGACUUUAGUUAAAUCCAUCCCGUAGGAUCUUAUUAAUUAAUACCUCCUUCGGUACAAAAUAUAUUGCACCUCUUUUACACUGCAUGAUAUCAAAACAACACUGAGCUUAUAUAUUCGUGAUGAAGGCUUCAGUCAUACUAUGUUACUAAAAAAAAUCAUAAUUCCUGAUGAAAGCAAUUUUUAGGAUAAAAUCUAGUCUUAUAACUUCGCCCAUGUGUUCAGUAUAAAGUCUCCUUUGGCCAAACUGAAGAAAUUAGACUGCAAACAACACAGACAAUUUGGUUCAAUUAUUAUACAAAGAAUUUGUCAAUCUUUGCUGCAGAAGCAGAACUUGUGACAUAAACUAAACUAAACCAGACACCGCAAGGAAUUUGUUUUCCAGAUCAUAAUAAUUACAUAAACACAAGGAAAACUUCAGGCGUCAGGCACUCCACGAAAUCACAACUCAGGCUACUAGCAAGCGAUUCAGGGCGCGUUGUGACACGACAGUGUAAAACUUCAGUGGUUCUGCUGAAAGCGGUUCAUUAAGUGAAUCUCCUCGGCAAUUCCCGGGAACCUUUUGGUUGUCCACUGGAACCAACCAAGUGAUCACUUCGUGGAUCCAGGACCCAUGACCGCGCCCGGCGGGGACACGAGCUGGGGCCUCCAUGGUAUGUGUGUAGGAGAAGCAGCCUCGCAGGUCGCUGACGGAACAACUGAAGAGGGGAGCGCUGCAGCGGUGGUGUGAGUGAAAGCGGCAUAAAAAGCGGAUCUUGGAUACGAUGCGACGCUGGCGUUUGCAGACGAGGGAGACAUGGGGGAGUGAGGACGGCUGCUGGAGGAGGCGGAGGAGAUUCUCAGAGAGUAGGUUUUCAUUGUCAGCGGCACCAUCACCCUCGACAUCUUGCCCUCCUCCCUCGACAUUUUGCCCUCCUCACAGCUCGUGCAGCAGGGGGAAAUGGUCAAGUGAUCAGCAUCGU